rnacentral:rRNA from 1 species
GACGAACGCUGGCGGGGUGCUUAACACAUGCAAGUCGAACGAUGAAGAAAAGAAUUGAAGCUUCGGCAGAAAUUCAUUUCGGAUUAGUGGCAGACGGGUGAGUAACGCGUGAGCAACCUACCUCUUACAAAGGGAUAGCCUCGGGAAACCGGGAUUAAUACCAUAUAACAUUGCGACGAAGCAUUUCGAUGCAAUCAAAGCUACGGCGGUAAGAGAUGGGCUCGCGUCCCAUUAACCAGAUGGUGAGGUAACGGCUCACCAUAGUAACGAUGGGUAACCGGCCUGAGAGGGUGAACGGUCACACUGGAACUGAGACACGGUCCAGACUCCUACGGGAGGCAGCAGUGGGGAAUAUUGCACAAUGGAGGGAACUCUGAUGCAGCGACGCCGCGUGAGUGAUGAAGGAAUUCGUUUCGUAAAACUCUGUUCUAUGGGAAGAAAAGGACUGUACCAUAGGAGAAAGCUCCGGCUAAAUACGUG